rnacentral:rRNA from 1 species
GAUGAACGCUGGCGGCGUGCCUAAUACAUGCAAGUCGAGCGAACAGACGAGGAGCUUGCUCCUCUGACGUUAGCGGCGGACGGGUGAGUAACACGUGGAUAACCUACCUAUAAGACUGGGAUAACUUCGGGAAACCGGAGCUAAUACCGGAUAAUAUAUUGAACCGCAUGGUUCAAUAGUGAAAGACGGUUUUGCUGUAACUUAUAGAUGGAUCCGCGCCGCAUUAGCUAGUUGGUAAGGUAACGGCUUACCAAGGCAACGAUGCGUAGCCGACCUGAGAGGGUGAUCGGCCACACUGGAACUGAGACACGGUCCAGACUCCUACGGGAGGCAGCAGUAGGGAAUCUUCCGCAAUGGGCGAAAGCCUGACGGAGCAACGCCGCGUGAGUGAUGUAGGUCUUCGGAUCGUAAAACUCUGUUAUUAGGGAAGAACAAAUGUGUAAGUAACUAUGCACGUCUUGACGGUACCUAAUCAGAAAGCCACGGCUAACUACGUG